GCCAAGCAAAUAUAUUAAAUAAUUUUUUAAUUGGAACCACAAGUAAAUCCUGUCACUUUCUAUUGAUGCUUGAUUUAACCAUUAUAAUUCUGGUUACUAGUUACCUAGCUAGUCUGAAAUUUCCAGCCUGCAAGUCUGAAUAUAUGUCCCACUUCAAGUUUUCUGAAUCUAAAGUGUGUGGAAAAUGCAGUUAUUUUAAAAUACGUCUGCUCGGUUGAAGAACGCCGUAAGAAAUCGUAAUUCUAGACCUCCCGGAAGUUGACCGCGAAAAAAAAAAUCGAUUUGCGCAUGCGCGUGGUAAAAUGAGACCGGCACAAACUCAGGCCACGACACCGGGGUCUUUCUACAGUCAUCACGACGCUGUGACUAUCAAAAGACUUUAAGCAACCGUGCCGGCUGCCUUAAGAGUUGUUAAAUCACUGAAUCCUCCAUCUGACCAGUCGGUUGAGCGCGUGCCUGCAGUUGAUUCACAUCAGCCUGAUCCUUAUCCAGAGCUCAAGAGUGCUAAUGACAGACUUGAUGGCGAGGACAAGGGAACCAGGCACCAGAGGAAUGCCCUAAUCAAUACCUUAACUGCAUACACCCCUGGAAUGGAACAAGGGAAGGAUACAACAAUCAUUGUCAAGGGCUGCUUGAACGCUACGGCUCAUGUUUAUCUUUGGCAGUCAGGACAAGUCAGGAACCGUCAAAGGCAGCCUUGCCAGGGAUGUGCCACAAAUUUACAGAGUUGUCAUGGCGGCUGCAAUAAAUAUCACAUCAAUGGACAGU